rnacentral:rRNA from 1 species
UAAAUACUACCUGAUGACCGAUAGAGGAGCAGUACCGUGAGGGAAAGGUGAAAAGCACCCCGGGAGGGGAGUGAAACAGUACCUGAAACCGUGCGCCCACGAGCAGUCGGAGCACCUUUAUGGUGUGACGGCGUGCCUUUUGUAGAAUGAGCCAGCGAGUCGCUGGCGCGGGGCGAGGUUAACCGAAAGGGAGCCGGAGCGAAAGCGAGCCUUAACAGGGCGACUUGAGUCCCGCGCCGCGGACGCGAAGCCGGGUGAGCUAUCCGUGGGCAGGCUGAAGCGGGGGUAAGACCCCGUGGAGGGCCGAACGCACGUCGGUUGAAAACGGCGGCGAUGACCUGCGGAUAGGGGUGAAAGGCCAAUCAAACCCGGAGAUAUCUCGUUCUCCCCGAAAUAGCUUUAGGGCUAGCGUCGCGCGUUCACCGCCGGAGGUAGAGCACCGGAUGGACGAGGGGGCUUCGCCGCCUACCGAAUCCAACCGAACUCCGAAUGCCGGCGGCCCAGAGCGCGGCAGUCAGAGCAUGUGGGCUAAGCUGUGUGCUCGAGAGGGAAACAGCCCGGACCGCCCGCUAAGGUCCCCAAGUUCCAGCCGAGUGGCAAAGGAUGUGCGUCCGCCCAGACAACCAGGAUGUUGGCUUAGAAGCAGCCAUGCAUUCAAAGAGUGCGUAACAGCUCACUGGUCGAGUGGACAUGCGCCGACAAUACACGGGGCUAAGCUGGACACCGAAGCGGCGGGAUUUUGAUUUUCGGAAUCGGUAGGGGAGCUUCCCAUGGGCGGAGAAGCCGGAGGGCGACCGACGGUGGAGCGCAUGGGAGUGAGAAUGCUGGCAUGAGUAGCGAGAGACGAGAGAGUAACUCGUCCGCCGUGAACCCGAGGUUUCCUGGGCAAGGCUAAUCCUCCCAGGGUCAGUCGGGGGCUAAGGCGAGGCCGGUAGGCGUAGCCGACGCGCAGCAGGCAGACAUUCCUGCACCGCGCACGCGGCGCUACGACCGACGGGGCGACGGAUGGGGGUGGCUCGGCGGGGUUCUGGACGUCCCCGUGAUGGAGCGCGGCCCGCGGACCAGGGAAAUCCGGUCCGCAUCGAGGGCGAGGCUCCGGACGAAGCGACUGAGCGAAGCGAGUGAGCCCGAGGUCCCUAGAAAAACCCCUAGGCAGGCGCGUGCGCGCCCGUACCGCAAACCGACACAGGUGGGUGGGUAGAACAUACCGAGGCGAUCGGGUCAACCAUGGUCAAGGAACUCGGCACAAUGGCCCCGUAACUUCGGGAGAAGGGGUGCCCGCGCGUACGUGAACGGACUUGCUCCGGGAGCGGAGGCGGGCCGCAGUGGAGAGGCCCAAGCGACUGUUUACCAAAAACACAGGACUCUGCAGAAGCCGCAAGGCGACGUAUAGGGUCUGACGCCUGCCCGGUGCCGGAAGGUCACGCGGAGGAGUUAGCCGAUUCGGCGAAGCCCCGAAGCCAAGCCCCGGUAAACGGCGGCCGUAACUAUAACGGUCCUAAGGUAGCGAAAUUCCUUGUCGGGUAAGUUCCGACCUGCACGAAAGGCGCAACGACUUGGGCGCUGUCUCGACCAUGGACCCGGUGAAAUUGCACUGGUCGUGAAGAUGCGACUUACCCGCGGAAGGACGGAAAGACCCCGUGAACCUUCACUGCAGCUUGGCAUUGGCCGCUGGUCCCGCGUGUAGAGGAUAGGCAGGAGGCAUCGAUCCGGAGGCGCCAGCCCCCGGGGAGCCGCCCUUGGAAUACUGCCCUCGCGCGACCGGCGUCCUAACCCGAGGCCGUCAACCGGCUCGGGGACCGUGCCAGGCGGGCAGUUUGACUGGGGCGGUCGCCUCCUAAAGGGUAACGGAGGCGCGCGAAGGUCCGCUCGGGACGGUCGGCAACCGUCCUUUUGAAUGCAAGAGUACAAGCGGGCUUGACUGCGAGGCCCACAAGCCGAGCAGGUGCGAAAGCAGGCUCUAGUGAUCCGGCGGCCCCGAGUGGGUGGGCCGUCGCUCAACGGAUAAAAGGUACUCCGGGGAUAACAGGCUGAUCUUGCCCAAGAGUCCACAUCGACGGCAAGGUUUGGCACCUCGAUGUCGGCUCAUCGCAUCCUGGGGCUGGAGCAGGUCCCAAGGGUACGGCUGUUCGCCGUUUAAAGCGGUACGCGAGCUGGGUUCAGAACGUCGUGAGACAGUUCGGUCCCUAUCCUCCG